AAGCUCCCACAUUGUGGGACGAAUCCUACACCGUUAGAUCGCGCCGACUUUGAUCUCAGCCGUCCUUUCUUAUUGUUGACGCGAUUAAUGUACACCGUUGAUCUGUCUCAAUAACUUUGAUCUGAGCCGUUCUUUUUCUUAGCCAAUAAGCAUUAACCUCCAAGAUUGCACUCUGUGCUUAUUCUCCACCAUUGAUGAAUUUAAUCCAACGGCUAAACGUUUCUCCUUCCUUUCUUUUUUUUGGUUAAAACUUAUUCUUUUUCCUCUUCUCUUCGUAUCCUUCUCUUACAUCCUUAUGGGAAAAUCAAAUACUAGUUUGCUUCCUGUUUCUUCACAUCUCCGAUUGGUGGAGGAUAUAGAAGGUGGUAGUGGCGGCUCUUAUAAAUGAUUUGAGGACAUCUCCGAGCUGUUAGAGGACGAAGGCUCAAGGCUCCGUGACGGAUAUCGAGCGGCAGAUCUCACAGUUGAGGGUGGUGUCUUAGAUCUGCCUUUGGCGGGAUUAACGAAAUCCGGACAAUCUUGCGAAUCAGAAACAGAAGCAAACAGAGGAGGAAUGAGAGCGACGAAGAAGGUGAGAGAGCGAUUUGGCCGCUUUUUCUAUCGGUUCCCGGAGGGAGAAUCCGCCGCCGACGUCUUCGAUCGAGUCUCAAGUAUGUUUCUUCAGGAGAGGGUGGAAACUGGAAUAUAGGAGGCCCUUCUACUGAUUCACUCGGUUUAUUGUCAUGGGGUGGAGGAAAACUAUACUGGAAGUGGAUCGAAGCUUUUUAUGGGCUGAAACAAGUGAUGAAGAUCCAUGGGCCAAUAAUUAGGAAAAGAAACAAUUUUUUUGUAUUUUCUUUAUUUUAUUUACAAAAAAGAAACAAAUUUUAUGUAUUUUCUUGUUUUAUUUUUUGUUAAAAAUUGAGUAUAAAAGUACGUAUAAAAAUACUCCUUCGUACAAUACAUCAUUUGUAUAAAAUGUAUAAUUUAAUAGUACAAAAUACUGUA